CCACCCCACCACCCACCCCUGUCUCCGCCCCUGCUUUGUGAACAACCUCCGUUCCCAUUUUCUGACUAGUCAAGUCGAAUCAGGAGGCGGAUGAAAUCAAAUUAGAAUCCCCUUCUCGCUCCCAAUCAUCACGUAGAAAUCCCGAUUAACGACGAGCCGUGGUUCCAUUGUCACUGGCUAGCUUCCUCCGAGUCCAACACUACUGGUUCCCAUCUAGCGCGCAGGCAGUCACAUGGCCUCUACGCCACCAUGGAUGGUAGGAAGCAAGCACGACGGUUAAAGGAGCAGAUUCGGCCGCAGCCCGCAGGGUUCCUCAACGGCACCGCCGCCACUACACCAAGGGAGGCGCUGGAUCAACAAUCCUAGUUACAACGUUUUGAAAACAAAUACGAAAGUUUCCAAAUCCAAUUAACAGUUCAAUUCGCGAUUUUGAAAAUUGUAAAUUCUAGAUUGAAAACUUGAUUCAAAUGCUAAAGUAUCGUAUUUUGAUAUGCAGAUCCGUUGAAAGUGGAAAAGAACAGAAACAUGGAGCUCAGGAGCUGCACUCAAUAUCGAAGAUAACAACUGGAGACACCAUUGGCCUGGAUCUAGGAUCGGAGAUUUGCUACGAGGGAGGAGAGAACAAAUGCGUAUCCAGCUUACUAACACACCGAAGCCAUCGACGGGGAACAAAGAGAAACUUAUAAGCAGAUCCCGGGAUCAGAAAGGCAGAGGAAAGUAUCAUCGUUGUGGCAAGGAGGAAGAUAGGAGAAAAAAGAUUAAGGGAAAGUGAGGAACUGCGUACCUAAAUGUCCGAAGAACGGGCGGGAUGGCUUCGCGGAACUGGCCGCAGCAUCCUGUCUCUUUUAUAAUAGAUGGGGCAGAACACUGUACGACACCAUUUUGACUUA